UUUGCAGAAACUGUGACCUGUUCAUGACUUUUACUAAAAUUAUCCAUGACAAAAUGGAGAUCUGUGGGUCCCCACACUGCCAGCAGUGGGGCAGCUGCACAGGGACUAGGUGCUGUAUGCAAAGGGAAACUGAGGCACACUACCAUAUUGCUUUCAUGGCUAAAUGCCACGAUUCCUGUACUAUGGACAACAUUAAUAUCUACAUUGAUUUGGAAAAGCAGA